rnacentral:rRNA from 1 species
AUUGAACGCUGGCGGCAGGCCUAACACAUGCAAGUCGAGCGAGCGGCGGACGGGUGAGUAAUGUCUGGGAAACUGCCUGAUGGAGGGGGAUAACUACUGGAAACGGUAGCUACUACCGCAUACCAUCAGAUUGGCCCAGAUGGGAUUAGCUAGUAGGUGGGGUAACGGCUCACCUAGGCGACGACCCCUAGCUGGUCUGAGAGGAUGACCAGCCCCACUGGACCUGAGACACGGCCCAGCUCCCUACGGAGGGCAGAAGUGGGGAAUAUUGCACAAUGGGCGCAAGCCUGAUGCAGCACUGCCUGGUGUGUGAAGAAGGCCUUCGGGUUGUAAAGCACGUUCAGCGGGGAGGCGUUACCCGCAGAAGAAGCACCGGCUAACUCCGUGCCAGCAGCCGCGGUAAUUC